rnacentral:rRNA from 1 species
GACGAACGCUGGCGGCGUGCCUAAUACAUGCAAGUCGAACGCACUCUCGUUUAGAUUGAAGGAGUUUGCUCCUGAUUGAUAAACAUUUGAGUGAGUGGCGGACGGGCGAGUAACACGUGGGUAACCUGCCCUAAAGUGGGGGAUAACAUUUGGAAACAGAUGCUAAUACCGCAUAAAACCUAACACCGCAUGGUGUAGGGUUGAAAGAUGGUUUCGGCUAUCACUUUAGGAUGGACCCGCGGUGCAUUAGUUAGUUGGUGAGGUAAAGGCUCACCAAGACCGUGAUGCAUAGCCGACCUGAGAGGGUAAUCGGCCACACUGGGACUGAGACACGGCCCAGACUCCUACGGGAGGCAGCAGUAGGGAAUCUUCCACAAUGGACGAAAGUCUGAUGGAGCAACGCCGCGUGAGUGAAGAAGGUUUUCGGAUCGUAAAACUCUGUUGUUGGAGAAGAAUGUAUCUGAUAGUAACUGAUCAGGUAGUGACGGUAUCCAACCAGAAAGCCACGGCUAACUACGUG